AUUGAACGCUGGCGGCAGGCCUAACACAUGCAAGUCGAGCAGAUGAAGGGAGCUUGCUCCUGGAUUCAGCGGCGGACGGGUGAGUAAUGCCUAGGAAUCUGCCUGGUAGUGGGGGAUAACGUCCGGAAACGGGCGCUAAUACCGCAUACGUCCUGAUGGAGAAAGUGGGGGAUCUUCGGACCUCACGCUAUCAGAUGAGCCUAGGUCGGAUUAGCUAGUUGGUGGGGUAAAGGCCUACCAAGGCGACGAUCCGUAACUGGUCUGAGAGGAUGAUCAGUCACACUGGAACUGAGACACGGUCCAGACUCCUACGGGAGGCAGCAGUGGGGAAUAUUGGACAAUGGGCGAAAGCCUGAUCCAGCCAUGCCGCGUGUGUGAAGAAGGUCUUCGGAUUGUAAAGCACUUUAAGUUGGGAGGAAGGGCAGUAAGUUAAUACCUUGCUGUUUUGACGUUACCAACAGAAUAAGCACCGGCUAACUUCGUG
rnacentral:rRNA from 1 species